ACACAACAACAACAACAACAAAAAACAUGAACUGAUAGCAGGGGGAAAAUGUGAAUAGGAAAUCGAAUACCCCAUUGCCUCAAGCAAUAUGCAAGAUUUCUCAUAAGCAAAGCAUUUUCUGAUUUUGUCCUGCUUAAAACCAGUUCAUUUGGGAUUGGCUCCUUUGUUCCAGUUCCAGCUUUCCCAGCCUUCCAGGGUACUGAUCUGACCUCUGUCGCCUCUAUGUUAGAGCUGGAUCCAGCCAACAAAAUCCAACACAUGCUGGAAGUACAGGUGCUACUUCCAGGUUCAAAGCCACUACUCAAUCAGUAUAGCAGCUCCACUCCUCUUAGGAGGAGAGAAGCACCAUGGAGCAACAACACAGGGUGGAGAAGAGAAAGAGAAAAUGUUUUAAUGAAGUUCAACUAAUGCUAAUAAUUCACUUCUUAUUAAAGUCCAGCAUAAAACUCCACUAAAAAUGACUAACAAUCUAACUAAAUUAAACAA